CCUAUUUCCUUGCGAGAUUUGUCUUGAUUUCAAAAUCCACUUCAAAUAUUUUUGUAGUUCGAGAAAACUAAUACACUCAAAAUUUUAUACAGAACUAAUCUUUUCCAUUUCAAAAGGCAAAAUUCCAAACUUUUAGAAAUGGAAUGGUGGCCGCGUUCCAUAUCGCUCAUCUGUGUGUUCAUCUCCUCCUCAUCUCCUCUUCCUCUUCCAAAACACAUGGUUCCCACAGGCCGCCCGCUGCGGCGGUUAGCGCCCACUCGAGAGCCGUGACGCGGCGUUUACACAACACCGCAAAUGUCUUCGGACUGUUCCCAGGCAUCGCCUUACCCGCCGCCAUCGCUCAUAAGUCUGUCAUGAGGCUCAGCGGGUGGCACAAGCUGUUGCUAUCAUGUACAAACUCAUAAACUGCCCUUUUCUCCUUAAAUAUAAACUUUUAUUAUAUCAUAUUGGUAUGCAUAGACAUUUAUUUGUGAAUUGUAUGAUCAAAUUUAGGCACAUUAUCCACGGGGUUGUCUCUUGUAGUUUGUAAUUCUAGGCCAAAAAUUCUUGUUAUGCAAAUGAGGGGCUUUAGUUUGAUAAUACAAAUUCAUGAAAAAAAUGAUAUUUUGUUUCGUUCCGUACGCAUAUGAUCAAAUUUUGAGUUGAGAAGAUGUAUACAUUCGAUUUUGUAUACAUCAAAAUGAAUGCUCGUUGUUUGGCAGACAUUUUGUUUUUGACCGGAAGUUCUUCUGUUUGCUUUAGAGUGUGCAGGUGUACCUAACAAAGUGACACUUCAUCCUAAAAUCAAUUUUAAACAUAUUUGGAGUUUUCAAGGGUAUUAGCAACAAGCGUGGCUUUAUUGAGUUGCCUUGACGCUAACUAUGACAAAUGAGGCACAACAAGUAAAGGUCACCACGUUAUAAAGCGCAGUGUUUUUUACAUUAGCUUCGUCUGACAUUAUCAAGAGGAGCUCCAUUUGUUUUCCAUUGAUCUCAUACAAUAGGUCACAUUAGGUUGAUAUCAGCACUUAUGAUAACUUCCUCUCUGCUUUUUUUUUUUUUUUAUUUAAAAUAACCACACGAUCCAGGCCAACCCUGCGGCAAUCAUCACGACCAGCAUCAUUUAUGCAAAUGUAAUUAGAAGCUAGGAAUAUGAUAUGGCAGCGCAGGGUGCUAGUGGAAAUUUAUCACCGAAGCUGCGCGCCAUCUAAACAUUCAAUUAAAAUAUUGGAUUUCAUCGAGUUCUAUCUCUAGGUAAUAAAUUAAACAGCCGAGGGAGUGCUGAUUUUAUUAAUAAUGUGAAAGAAGGGGGAGGGUGUACCAAAGUUAGCCCGCUUGGUAGAGCUGAGCAAUAUAGGCUUCAAAUAAAAUAUAAUCAAAUUAUUCGGUUGGUUACAAUGUUCAUCUGGAUAAAAAAAAAAAAACUUGAAUUAUUCAACAAUUCAUCAGCCAGCCCUUUACUUAGCUAGGCUUAGCAUGAACAGGAUUGUCGUUUCUCGCGGCCUCAUUCUGGUGGGCAACCAUCGUCCCACUUCUCUGAAUGUCACAUUACAAUGUUUUUUUUUUUUUCUUCCAAGAUGGAAGCCAAGAGGGCACUUCCAUUAUAAUAUAUAAUAUGACCUUAUUCUUACCACAUUUACAUAACAGCCCUCUGGAUCCUUUUGAUAUUUUGAUCUGUUUUUUUUUUGUGUGGUUCUGGUCCGCCUUUGUUAUGAUGUAGCUGAAACUUGUGUAAACCUUUGAAAAAGAUGCACAGGAAAUUUGAGAUCAUUUAACUAACCCAUGUGCGUGUGUGUGUAUGUGUGUGCGGGCUGUCAACAGGCGCUGAGGUGGCAGAAAAUGUUGUGUGUGUCUUUCAGCAAGUGUCGAAUCCUAUGUCAGGGGCGAGGUGGCACUCUCAUCUUCCCGUGCCAGGGUGUCUCUACAAGUGUGCCUGGCGUCAGCAAGGGGAACACCUUUCGCCCCUCAACACGCCUUUGAAGGCAACACACACAUGCAGGCGUAUAGAGGUCAUUAGCCUUUGCGCCGCGAGACAAGUUGAAAACACGCAAAUGUCAACGUUGCGCUUUUUGCAGCUGGGAUGUCCGUGAUCGUAUGCACAUUUCCACCGGUGGGUUUCAUGCGUGUGUACGGAUCAGAUGUUGUGAAUAAAGUGUCGGCAUUUUAAUUAAACGGCAUCUGGAAGCAUCUCGGGUUGCCAUCGUACCUUCGGUGGAUUUCCAAGACUUGUCGACUGAAGAUCCGCAAACAAGUCGAGACAAAACAGGUUGAGCGGAGAUGCAGCACUUUUUCAACCUUCACCCUAAGCCCUUCACGCCUCCAUCGGGAUGUCAAUGCCAAAAAUAUGACGUUAUUCUUCCCAAAAUGGAACCCUCCUCCUUCUGACUGACCGCAAGGGCUCUCGUCAAGUACGCAAAGCGACAGCGUUUUGGAGCAGCUGGAGAGUUUUUCAAAAAUCUGCCAUGAAAUAAAUCUGGCCAAGUGUUGCCAUGAAAAGGAAGAGCCCAAAACUGCCCAUCUUUCUGAAAGGAACUGACAUGGAGCGGUUGUCAACUAAAGUCCAUCUUAAGACCCUUUCACACUGUCCUGUGUCAUUGGACUGUGUGAAAGCGGCCAACGCAGAAUGUUGGGCGAGCGACAAGAAUUUCAGUUGCCUUCAUGUUGUCUUCUUCUGUGCUUGAGGUCAAGCUGACUUCCAUUCAUCUUUGUGCCACCGUAUUCCCUUUCUGCCCAUCUUUUUCUCAUCUACGGGAUAAGCGCAAAACUCCUUUUACAUGUCCUAAAAGGGUCUGAUAAAAGUCAACAACAUAAACCGUUGCUGAGGAAUGUGCCGUUUGAUGCAAUGUGAAACAGGCAGGCGAUAAGCGCGAGAAGUCAGAAGGGAGAAGCAACAAGCCGUGAUGGAUGUGUGCACUUUUCCCUCUGCUUGAAAUUUCCCAGAUAUAUUUCAUGCUUUUAGCAAACAAACUGCGACGUAUUUUAUCUGGCUCGCCAGCCCCCCCCCCCCCCGAUGUGCUGAUAUCAAAUCCUGCAAUGAUUUGAUCCGCUUUGAUGUCAUCAUUCGCCGUGUCAGCGAUGUUCAGCAACGUUUUUGUGGAGCACUCCCUCACACCUCGGUCGUGCCUGUCAAAACAUACAAAGUCCAAGAACCUUUUUGAAGGCUUUUAUAGUCGCUGCUGUCAGAGACAAUGUGCUCACUGUCCGAGCUAUUUCUUGCCAUGGUCCUCAACCUAAUUCUGGCCACAGAUUGAUUGGUUCAUGCCGUGUUGCCGUGUGAAACAUCUUUUGCAGCAUCUGUGUGAAAAAUACAGGUGAAUUAGUGUUGGCCCGUGAGUGAAUGAUUCGUUCAGAAGAACGAAUGCUUUCAGUGAACGAGAGUGAACGAAUAUGACUUCAACCAGUAGGUGUCGGUAAUGCGCGUUGAAGCUGGUGCUACCUCGCCGUAAAACAAAACGAAGAAGAAAAUGACGUAACUCCUGUUUACGAACGAGUCGUGAAUUGCAUUUCCCGUUCAGCAACGGAACGGGAAAGUAAGUGAACGAGUCAGUGAUUCGCAUUUCCAGUUCAUCGCGAGAACGGAUCAGUGAGGGAAGGAAUCCUGACUUUCCCGUUCGCGAACGAGUUAAUGGGUCUUCCCGUGCAUUAACGGAUCAGUCAGGGAACGUGUUGCGUCUCCUUCCUGGCGUGAACUGUGUAAGACAGAAUGUCGAUUUACGAUUUGCGAAAGAAAGAAAGUAAACUCACUGAAACACCACUUCUUUUAUGUUCGUUUUCUCCAAGCUAACGGCUAACUUUAGUGCAUGAAGGGCUGCGCCGUUAUGCAACAACGGGGAGAUUCUGCUUCUCUUUGGGUAGUCUUGAUUUGAUCACACUUAUAGUAGUUUUUAAAUAACGUGUAUGCAUGUAUACGCCUAAAUAUUGUCAUCCGAUAUAUCUACUGCAAUUUCACAUUAGAUUGCUGGUUUGAAAUUUACUUUUAUUAUCAUUAUUAUUUUAAUAAACAUUUAUUUUAAAACUU